rnacentral:rRNA from 1 species
AAUCAACGCUGGCGGCGUGCCUAACACAUGCAAGUCGAACGGGAAAGUGGAGCAAUCCAUGAGUACAGUGGCGAACGGGUGAGUAACACGUGACUAACCUGCCUUCGAGUGGGGGAUGACCUCGGGAAACCGGGGCUAAUACCGCAUAACAUCCUCGAGAUGAAAAGCCGGGGAUCAAAGGGGUAAGACGCUUGAAGAGGGGGUCGCGGCUGAUUAGCUAGUUGGCGGGGUAACGGCCCACCAAGGCUUUGAUCGGUAGCCGGCCUGAGAGGGCGCACGGCCACACUGGAACUGAAACACGGUCCAGACUCCUACGGGAGGCAGCAGUGGGGAAUUUUGCGCAAUGGGGGAAACCCUGACGCAGCAACGCCGCGUGGAGGAUGAAGUCCUUUGGGACGUAAACUCCUUUCGACCGGGAAGAUAAUGACGGUACCGGUGGAAGAAGCCCCGGCUAACUUCGUGCCAGCCGCCGCUGUAAUAC